AUACUAAUCUGGCAGGGAAGAUACCAUGAUCACGAAUGUGGUUUUCCUGGGGCAAGGCGCAUCCAUUGCACUCAAAUGCAGAUUUGUUUGUGUUACCACUCUAUCUAAAACUCUUCUACACUUUUGGUAAUAAAAGCAACCCUUCCAGGGCAGCCUCAC